UACGUAGGGGGCAAGCGUUAUCCGGAUUUACUGGGUGUAAAGGGAGCGUAGACGGCAGCGCAAGUCUGGAGUGAAAUCCCAUGGCUUAACCAUGGAACUGCUUUGGAAACUGUGCAGCUAGAGUGCAGGAGAGGUAAGCGGAAUUCCUAGUGUAGCGGUGAAAUGCGUAGAUAUUAGGAGGAACACCAGUGGCGAAGGCGGCCUACUGGACUGUAACUGACGUUGAGGCUCGAAAGCGUGGGGAGCAAACAGG
rnacentral:rRNA from 1 species